GUGAGGAAUAGGGUAGAGGUGGAGAGAGAUUGUGAAUUUUGAAGAUUUACAUUCACGAGGUAAUGAAUUUGACAUUAAUUUAUUUUCAGAAAUAGACUGUGGUACCCCUCCUGAGGUUCCAGAUGGCUAUAUCAUAGGAAAUUAUACAUCUAGGCUGGGCAGCCAGGUUCGUUAUGCUUGCAGAGAAGGAUUCUUCAGUGUUCCAGAAGAUACAGUUUCAAGCUGCACAGCCCUGGGCACAUGGGAGUCCCCAAAAUUACAUUGCCAAGAGAUCAACUGUGGCAACCCUCCAGAAAUGCGGCACGCCAUCUUGGUAGGAAAUCACAGCUCCAGGCUGGGCGGUGUGGCUCGCUAUGUCUGUCAAGAGGGCUUUGAGAGCCCUGGAGGAAAGAUCACUUCUGUUUGCACAGAGAAAGGCACCUGGAGAGAAAGUACUUUAACAUGCACAGAAAUUCUGACAAAGAUUAAUGAUGUAUCACUGUUUAAUGAUACCUGUGUGAGAUGGCAAAUAAACUCAAGAAGAAUA
rnacentral:sRNA from 1 species